rnacentral:rRNA from 1 species
GCCCGGAGAUGGACUCUGAGACACGAGUCCAGGCCCUACGGGGCGCAGCAGGCGCGAAAACUUCGCAAUGCAGGAAACUGUGACGAGGGAACUCCAAGUGUCCAUGCAUUGCAUGGACUGUUUGCCAGCCUAAAAAGCUGGUAGAGUAAGGGGUGGGAAAGACCGGUGCCAGCCGCCGCGGUAACACCGGCACCUCAAGUGGUAGCCACUAUUAUUGGGCCUAAAGCGUUCGUAGCCGGCUUGGUUAAUUCCUGGGUAAAUCGUACCGCUCAACGGUGCGGAUUCCGGGGACACUGCCAGGCUUGAGACCGGGGGAGAUCAGAGGUACUUGCGGGGGAGCGGUGAAAUGUUGUAAUCCCGCAGGGACCACCAAUGGCGAAGGCAUCUGAUCAAAACGGCUCUGACGGUGAGGGACGAAACCCUGGGGCGCAAACGGGAUUAGAUACCCCGGUAGUCCAGGGCGUAAACGCUGCUGACUUGGUGUUGGGGGCCCUGCGAGGGCGUCCAGUGCCGGCACGAAGGUAUUGAGUCAGCCGCCUGGGGAGUACGGUCGCAAGACUGAAACUAAAGAAUGGCGGGGGAGCAC